rnacentral:rRNA from 1 species
UACGGAGGGUGCGAGCGUUAUCCGGAUUCACUGGGUUUAAAGGGUGCGUAGGUGGGCAGGUAAGUCAGUGGUGAAAUCUCCGGGCUUAACCCGGAAACUGCCAUUGAUACUAUCAGUCUUGAAUACCGUGGAGGUAAGCGGAAUAUGUCAUGUAGCGGUGAAAAUGCUUAGAUAUGACAUAGAACACCAAUUGCGAAGGCAGCU